rnacentral:rRNA from 1 species
UACAGAGGUCUCGAGCGUUAGGCGGAAUCACUGGGCUUAAAGCGUGUGUAGGCGGGUCGUUAAGUGCCUUGUGAAAUCCCAUGGCUCAACCAUGGAACUGCUGGGCAUACUGGCGAUCUUGUGCCACCUAGGGGCGAGCGGAACAGAUGGUGGAGCGGUGAAAUGCGUAGAUAUCAUCUGGAACGCCAAUGGUGAAAACAGCUCGCUGGGGGUGUGCAGACACUGAGACACGAAAGCCAGGGGAGCGAACGGG